GUACUUGCCUGGCAGGGGAGAUACCAUGAUCACAAAGGUGGUUUUCCCAGGGUGAGGCUCAUCCAUCGCCCUCCAGAUGUGCUCACCCCUGUGAUUUCCCCAAAGGCGGGAAACUCCACUGCAUAAUCUGGAAGUGGAGGACUGCGUUUGUGCUCUCCCCCA
rnacentral:snRNA from 1 species